rnacentral:rRNA from 1 species
AAUCGCUAGUAAUCGCAGAUCAGCAUGCUGCGGUGAAUACGUUCCCGGGUCCUGUACACACCGCCCGUCACACCAUGGGAGUCGGAAAUGCCCGAAGUCAGUGGCCCAAACCGGAAGGAGGGAGCUGCCGAAGGCAGGUCCGGUGACUGGGGUGAAGUCGUAACAAGGUAUC